AGGAGAAGAAUGGAUGUUAUGGGAGACAACAAAGGAUACUGGUUCCAGAGCCACAGCCUCACCUGACCUCAGCCGGGGGGAAAGAGUCACACUCACAGUUGCAGGUGCUAAAAGAGAGGAUUGAGAAGUCCUUAUGAGCCAACAUAUUUACCAGGCCCAGGCAGUGACUGUCUGCAAGGGAGGGGCCAUUCUGUUGUGGCUGGCAAGCAGAACUUGUUGGAGAAAGUGACAACAGCAGAGACUCUACAUCACAAGGAUACUGACCAGAGCCAGGACUCACAGGUGGGGUGAGAUCUGUCAGAUGCAUUCGGGAGUGUGUUGUUUUUCUGAAAAAUGUAACUCUCUAGUUCUUUCAAGAAUAAAAGUAUCUGUAGUUAAGAAAUUCAUUUACUAAGCCUGUGUUCCUGGCUUUACUGACACUCUGCCUCUGAAGGAUUUAACUAGACAUCAGAGCUCCCACAGCCAAGUGGUUUAUAGGGGUACAUAUCUGAGCAACUGAGGCUCAGGAGGACUAAGGCACUGGCUCUGGCUCUAGGUAGCUGGACUGUGAGGUGCCAUUGCCAAGAAAGGCUUUAGUCAUGGAGGUCUAUACUUGGGAACAUGUCUGAGAGACCCAGAGCAAGGAGUAGUGACUAGUCACUGAGAAGCAUGGAAGAUUCAGCAGUUGGAUCCACUCAUAACAGACUGGAGUCUGUCCACAGAGCAGGACCAGGCCUGGUUGUAACACCCAUUACCAUAGUAUCUCAGUGUAUUGUCUCCUCCCUAUGUGGCUUCCAUACUCUCCUGCACUU